rnacentral:rRNA from 1 species
AAUAUCGGACAAGGGUUGCAAGCCUGAUCCAGCCUUGCGGCGUGUGUGAAGAAGGACUUCGGACUGUAAAGUACUUUUCUUUGGAAGGAAGGGCAGUUAACGAAUACUUAACUGUUUUGACGUUACCAAAAGAUUAUGCACCGACUAACCUCGUGCCAGCAGCCGCGGUAAUACGAAGGGUGCAAGCGUUAAUCGGAAUUACUGGGAGUAAAGCGGGAGGAGGUGGUUCGUUAAAUUGGAAGUGAAAGGCCCGGGCUCAACCUGGGAAUUGCGUUCAAAACUGGCGAGCUAGAGUACGGUAGAGGAUGGUGGAAUUUCCUGUGUAGCGGUGAAAUGCGUAGAUAUAGGAAGGAACAUCAGUGGCGAAGGCGACCACCUGGACUGAUACUGACACUGAGGUGCGAAAGCGUGGGGAGCAAACAGG